rnacentral:lncRNA from 1 species
CUCCCUCUCCUCCACCUUACGAGUACAAGUCGCCACCCCCUCCUUCUCCCUCUCCACCACCACCUUACGAGUACAAGUCGCCACCCCCUCCUUCUCCCUCUCCGCCAUCACCAUCUCCUCCACCACCUUACUACUACAAAUCACCACCCCCUCCUUCUCCUUCUCCACCACCACCUUACUACUACAAGUCUCCACCACCUCCAUCACCAUCUCCUCCACCACCAUACUACUAUAAAUCACCUCCUCCACCCUCUCCAUCACCUCCUCCACCAUAUUACUACAAGUCCCCACCACCUCCAUCACCUUCACCCCCACCACCUUACUACUAUAAGUCUCCACCUCCACCUUCACCAUCACCACCUCCACCUUACUACUACAAGUCUCCUCCACCACCUUCACCAUCACCUCCACCACCAUACUACUACUCUUCCCCACCACCACCCAAGAAAUCACCUCCUCCACCAUACUACUACUCCUCUCCUCCACCACCCAAGAAGUCACCUCCACCUCCAUACUACUACAGUUCUCCACCACCACCAGUUAAGUCUCCUCCUCCGCCAUACUAUUACUCCUCACCACCACCACCCAAAAAGUCACCUCCGCCACCAUACUACUACUCCUCACCACCACCACCUAAGAAGUCUCCUCCACCAUACUACUACCACUCCCCUCCACCACCAGUUAAGUCUCCUCCUCCUCCAUACUACUACCACUCCCCUCCACCACCAGUUAAGUCUCCUCCUCCUCCUCCAUACUACUACACUUCCCCUCCACCACCUACUCCUUACUAUCCUCCUCAUCAUCCCUUGAUCGUUAAGGUUGUCGGAAAAGUCUAUUGCUACAGAUGCUACGACUGGAAAUAUCCAAAGAAAUCCCAUGACAAGAAGCACCUUAAAGGUAUACUAUUUUUCUCUGCCACAUUUUCUCUUACAUUAUUCUUGUUCUGUUUAAUAUUUCUUCAUAACUAUAUAUAUUUAUCUCAAGUAUGUGGUUCCUUCUUGCUUUAAAGAUUUAGCUCAAAAUUUGAAAAAUCUUGGCUCUAUUAUAAUUCCCUACAAAAAGAUGCGAAAGAAAAGAAAGUUGAUAAAUGCACUAAAGAUGAUUAUCAAAAAAUGCUUUAAAAACUAUUGAAUAAUUUUUUUUACAACUGAAUAUAUGAUGAAAAGAACANACUACAAAUCACCACCCCCUCCUUCUCCUUCUCCACCACCACCUUACUACUACAAGUCUCCACCACCUCCAUCACCAUCUCCUCCACCACCAUACUACUAUAAAUCACCUCCUCCACCCUCUCCAUCACCUCCUCCACCAUAUUACUACAAGUCCCCACCACCUCCAUCACCUUCACCCCCACCACCUUACUACUAUAAGUCUCCACCUCCACCUUCACCAUCACCACCUCCACCUUACUACUACAAGUCUCCUCCACCACCUUCACCAUCACCUCCACCACCAUACUACUACUCUUCCCCACCACCACCCAAGAAAUCACCUCCUCCACCAUACUACUACUCCUCUCCUCCACCACCCAAGAAGUCACCUCCACCUCCAUACUACUACAGUUCUCCACCACCACCAGUUAAGUCUCCUCCUCCGCCAUACUAUUACUCCUCACCACCACCACCCAAAAAGUCACCUCCGCCACCAUACUACUACUCCUCACCACCACCACCUAAGAAGUCUCCUCCACCAUACUACUACCACUCCCCUCCACCACCAGUUAAGUCUCCUCCUCCUCCAUACUACUACCACUCCCCUCCACCACCAGUUAAGUCUCCUCCUCCUCCUCCAUACUACUACACUUCCCCUCCACCACCUACUCCUUACUAUCCUCCUCAUCAUCCCUUGAUCGUUAAGGUUGUCGGAAAAGUCUAUUGCUACAGAUGCUACGACUGGAAAUAUCCAAAGAAAUCCCAUGACAAGAAGCACCUUAAAGGUAUACUAUUUUUCUCUGCCACAUUUUCUCUUACAUUAUUCUUGUUCUGUUUAAUAUUUCUUCAUAACUAUAUAUAUUUAUCUCAAGUAUGUGGUUCCUUCUUGCUUUAAAGAUUUAGCUCAAAAUUUGAAAAAUCUUGGCUCUAUUAUAAUUCCCUACAAAAAGAUGCGAAAGAAAAGAAAGUUGAUAAAUGCACUAAAGAUGAUUAUCAAAAAAUGCUUUAAAAACUAUUGAAUAAUUUUUUUUACAACUGAAUAUAUGAUGAAAAGAACAUCAUAAGUAAAAGUAAGAAAGCAUCGUCAUCACUUAAUUAUGCCUGCCGUAAAAAAAACAUAUUUGAAAUAUGUAUUCAUUGAUUGCGCAAUUAUUUGUGGUAUUAUGUAGUAUGAUUUUUUUUUUCAUGAUCAAGUAAUUUAGUAUGAUUUUUUUUUUCAUGAUCAAGUAAUUAUUAACUUUAUUGUAAAUCACCAAAAUGGUGAAAAGAACAUAGUGGUGCCAACCAGUCUUCGUUGGCUUACUGAAAAAUCGUAAUUGAAGACAGAUGGAUAAAGUCUUUGACUUUUGAAUUACUUAAUAGAUAAAGAGGGAAAAAAACAUGAAUUAGUGGAUAAUGAGCUUUAGAUCCUGUGAUGGAACACAUAAUAUUUUAUAAGAAAAGGACAAAGUUGGUUAUUGUAGCUAGUGGGCAGAAUAAGCUUAAGAUAUGUCUAUAUUGUUCAAUUAUUAAGUACUAAUUGCAUCAUCAAUUUUCACAUUUGGUAUAGGUGCUGUUGUUGAGGUAACAUGCAAGGUUGGUGACAAGGAAGUCAAGAGCUAUGGCACCACUAAGAUUAAUGGCAAGUUUAGCAUCACUGUUGAAGGAUUUGAUUAUGCCAAAUAUGGAGCAGAUGCAUGCAAGGCUAAACUCCACAAAGCACCAAAGGAUUCUAAAUGUAACAUCCCCACAAAUCUUCAUUGGGGCAUUAAGGGUGCUGACCUCAAAGUAAAGUCAAAGAAUCAUUAUGAAGUUGUGCUCUAUGCUAAACCAUUUGCUUAUGCUCCAAAAACUCCAUAUGAAGAAUGCAUGAAGCCUAAGCCAACUCCAACUCCUUACUACUACAAAUCUCCACCUCCUCCAUCGCCAACAUACGUAUACAAGUCACCACCUCCUCCAACCCCAACAUACGUAUACAAGUCACCACCUCCUCCAACCCCAACAUACGUGUACAAGUCACCACCUCCUCCAUCACCUAAAUACGUGUACAAGUCGCCUCCUCCUCCAUCGCCUAAAUACAUAUACAAAUCUCCACCUCCUCCAUCACCAAAGUACAUGUACAAGUCACCUCCUCCUCCAACCCCAACAUACAUGUACAAGUCACCACCUCCUCCAUCACCUAAGUACGUGUACAAGUCACCACCACCUCCAUCACCUAAGUACGUGUACAAGUCACCACCACCUCCAUCACCUAAGUACGUGUAUAACUCUCCACCACCUCCAUCACCUAAGUACGUGUACAAGUCACCACCACCUCCAUCACCUAAGUACGUGUACAAGUCACCACCUCCUCCAUCACCUAAGUACGUGUACAAGUCACCACCUCCUCCACCAUACUAUUACAAGUCUCCUCCACCACCAUCGCCAUCUCCUCCUCCACCAUACUACUACAAGUCUCCUCCACCACCAUCGCCAACACCCCCGCCUCCAUACUACUACAAGUCCCCUCCACCACCAUCGCCAUCACCCCCGCCUCCAUAUUACUAUAAGUCACCACCACCACCAUCGCCCUCUCCUCCUCCUCCAUACUACUACAAGUCCCCUCCCCCACCAUCACCGUCACCUCCUCCACCAUACUACUACAAGUCCCCACCACCACCAUCCCCAUCACCUCCUCCACCAUACUACUACAAGUCCCCCCCACCACCAUCCCCAUCACCUCCACCACCAUACUACUACAAGUCCCCCCCACCACCAUCUCCAUCUCCUCCUCCACCAUACUACUACAAGUCCCCACCACCACCAUCCCCAUCUCCCCCACCUCCAUACUAUUACAAGUCUCCUCCACCGCCAUCACCAUCACCCCCACCUCCCUACUACUACCACUCUCCACCUCCACCGGUGAAGUCUCCUCCUCCACCAUACUACUACAAAUCACCACCACCACCAUCACCAUCACCCCCACCUCCCUACUACUAN